CCUCUAAGCAUCAGGUAACAUCAAAUCGUACCCCAAACCGACACAGGUGGUCAGGUAGAGAAUACCAAGGCGCUUGAGAGAACUCGGGUGAAGGAACUAGGCAAAAUGGUGCCGUAACUUCGGGAGAAGGCACGCUGGCGCGUAGGUGAAGAGACUUGCUCUCGGAGCUGAAGCCAGUCGCAGAUACCAGCUGGCUGCAACUGUUUAAUAAAAACACAGCACUGUGCAAACACGAAAGUGGACGUAUACGGUGUGACGCCUGCCCGGUGCUGGAAGGUUAAUUGAUGGGGUCAGCCGCAAGGCGAAGCUCUUGAUCGAAGCCCCAGUAAACGGCGGCCGUAACUAUAACGGUCCUAAGGUAGCGAAAUUCCUUGUCGGGUAAGUUCCGACCUGCACGAAUGGCGUAAUGAUGGCCAGGCUGUCUCCACCCGAGACUCAGUGAAAUUGAACUCGCUGUGAAGAUGCAGUGUACCCGCGGCAAGACGGAAAGACCCCGUGAACCUUUACUAUAGCUUGACACUGAACAUUGAGCCUUGAUGUGUAGGAUAGGUGGGAGGCUUUGAAGUGUGGACGCCAGUCUGCAUGGAGCC
rnacentral:rRNA from 1 species